rnacentral:rRNA from 1 species
UAGGGAAUCUUCGGCAAUGGGGGGAACCCUGACCGAGCAACGCCGCGUGAGUGAAGAAGGUUUUCGGAUCGUAAAGCUCUGUUGUUAAGGAAGAACGAGUGUGAGAAUGGAAAGUUCAUACUGUGACGGUACUUAACCAGAAAGGGACGGCUAACUACGUGCCAGCAGCCGCGGUAAUACGUAGGUCCCGAGCGUUGUCCGGAUUUAUUGGGCGUAAAGCGAGCGCAGGCGGUUAGAAAAGUCUGAAGUGAAAGGCAGUGGCUCAACCAUUGUAGGCUUUGGAAACUGUUUAACUUGAGUGCAGAAGGGGAGAGUGGAAUUCCAUGUGUAGCGGUGAAAUGCGUAGAUAUAUGGAGGAACACCGGUGGCGAAAGCGGCUCUCUGGUCUGUAACUGACGCUGAGGCUCGAAAGCGUGGGGAGCGAACAGGAUUAGAUACCCUGGUAGUCCACGCCGUAAACGAUGAGUGCUAGGUGUUAGGUCCUUUCCGGGANNAUAGUGCCGCAGCUAACGCAUUAAGCACUCCGCCUGGGGAGUACGACCGCAAGGUUG